AACGGCCGCGGUAUUUUGACCGUGCAAAGGUAGCGUAAUCACCUGUCUUUUAAAUAAAGACCUGUAUGAAUGGCAAGACGAGGGUUUUACUGUCUCCUCCCCCCAGUCAAUGAAAUUGAUCUACCCGUGCAGAAGCGGGUAUAAAAACAUAAGACGAGAAGACCCUAUGGAGCUUUAGGCACACAUCAAAUAUGUAAAAAACCAAAUCUUCCAAAUAGGCCUAAAAAAUGAGAAAAACAAGUAUUAAUGAUUAAUUGCCUUCGGUUGGGGCGACCACGGGGAAAAAUAAAACCCCCACAUGGAAUGGAUAAAAUUAUCCUAAGCCAAGAAAAACAAUUCUAAGCAACAAAAUUUUUGACCAAUAAAUGACCCAGGGACAAUAUCCCUGAGCAAUGAACCAAGUUACCCUAGGGAUAACAGCGCAAUCCUUUCCCAGAGCCCAUAUCAACGAAAGGGUUUACGACCUCGAUGUUGGAUCAGGGCAUCCUAACGGUGCAGCCGCUGUAAGGGU
rnacentral:rRNA from 1 species